rnacentral:rRNA from 1 species
UAUGGCUCAGAUUGAACGCUGGCGGCAGGCCUAACACAUGCAAGUCGAGCGGAUGACGGGAGCUUGCUCCUUGAUUCAGCGGCGGACGGGUGAGUAAUGCCUAGGAAUCUGCCUGGUAGUGGGGGACAACGUUUCGAAAGGAACGCUAAUACCGCAUACGUCCUACGGGAGAAAGCAGGGGACCUUCGGGCCUUGCGCUAUCAGAUGAGCCUAGGUCGGAUUAGCUAGUUGGUGGGGUAAUGGCUCACCAAGGCGACGAUCCGUAACUGGUCUGAGAGGAUGAUCAGUCACACUGGAACUGAGACACGGUCCAGACUCCUACGGGAGGCAGCAGUGGGGAAUAUUGGACAAUGGGCGAAAGCCUGAUCCAGCCAUGCCGCGUGUGUGAAGAAGGUCUUCGGAUUGUAAAGCACUUUAAGUUGGGAGGAAGGGCAGUAAGUUAAUACCUUGCUGUUUUGACGUUACCGACAGAAUAAGCACCGGCUAACUCUGUGCCAGCAGCCGCGGUAAUACAGAGGGUGCAAGCGUUAAUCGGAAUUACUGGGCGUAAAGCGCGCGUAGGUGGUUUGUUAAGUUGGAUGUGAAAGCCCCGGGCUCAACCUGGGAACUGCAUCCAAAACUGGCAAGCUAGAGUACGGUAGAGGGUGGUGGAAUUUCCUGUGUAGCGGUGAAAUGCGUAGAUAUAGGAAGGAACACCAGUGGCGAAGGCGACCACCUGGACUGAUA